rnacentral:rRNA from 1 species
GACGAACGCUGGCGGCGUGCUUAACACAUGCCAGUCGAACGGAAAGGCCCUGCUUUUGUGGGGUGCUCGAGUGGCGAACGGGUGAGUAACACGUGAGUAACCUGCCCUUGACUUUGGGAUAACUUCAGGAAACUGGGGCUAAUACCGGAUAGGAGCUCCUGCUGCAUGGUGGGGGUUGGAAAGUUUCGGCGGUUGGGGAUGGACUCGCGGCUUAUCAGCUUGUUGGUGGGGUAGUGGCUUACCAAGGCUUUGACGGGUAGCCGGCCUGAGAGGGUGACCGGCGACAUUGGGACUGAGAUACGGAGCAGACUCCUACGGGAGGCAGCAGUGGGGAAUAUUGCACAAUGGGCGGAAGCCUGAUGCAGAAACGCCGCGUGCGGGAUGACGGCCUUCGGGUUGUAAACCGCUUUCGCCUGUGACGAAGCGUGAGUGACGGUAAUGGGUAAAGAAGCACCGGCUAACUACGUG